UACGUAGGGCGCAAGCGUUGUCCGGAAUUAUUGGGCGUAAAGAGCUCGUAGGCGGUUUGUCGCGUCUGCCGUGAAAGUCCGGGGCUUAACUCCGGAUCUGCGGUGGGUACGGGCAGACUAGAGUGCAGUAGGGGAGACUGGAAUUCCUGGUGUAGCGGUGAAAUGCGCAGAUAUCAGGAGGAACACCGAUGGCGAAGGCAGGUCUCUGGGCAUUAACUGACGCUGAGGAGCGAAAGCAUGGGGAGCAAACAGG
rnacentral:rRNA from 1 species